CACACAACCACUCAUACCACGGCCAACCACCAAUGCACGCACACCACACAUCCACUCACACCACGGAAUGCACAACAAGCUAUUCUGACACACCCACGCACGAAGCCCACGCCAUCACACAUCCAUGGCCGGUGCGAGCAAGCAUGCCAUCCGCGCGGACAGCGAGCUUGGCGGAUGCCCGGGCAGGGAGCAGGGCGGCCGCGCGGGCAACCAGCUUGGCGGAUGCGCGGGCGACGAGCAUGGCAGACAUGUGGGCGGCGAGCAUGGCGCGCGGCGGUGAGCUUAGCGGAUGCGCGGGCGACGAGCAUGGGGACGUGCAGGCGGGGAGCAUGGCGCGCGGUGGCAGCUCACUCCACCGUCGACUGCUCAGCGCAGGAGUGCGGCGGCUUCUUCCCUCGGGCGCGCGGCGGCCUCUUCGCUCGGGCUCCCAGCGGCCUCUUCCCUCGAGCAUGGCGCGUGAAGGCCACUAUAGAGGAGCUCCUUCCUCCGGCGUCGGCCAACCGACGCUGCUUGGCGCGCGGUGUUGCCGCUCUCUCUCUCUAGGAACCAGCAAGCACGGCCGGGCAGUGAUGCGGAUACCAGGGUCGGGCGAGUGGCACGGACGCGCGUGGCAGUCCGGUGGCGCGGCGAGUAGUACCAGGCGAGCAGCGCGGUGAGCAGGGCGAGGUGACGGCAGUGCCGUCCUUCUGGUAUUGUGCCCGGCGAGAAGUACGGCCGGCGGUGAAGUACCUGUUUCUGUGAUGGACUUGAUUGCUUUUCCUUUUUAGUUUCUAGGGGUCCUUGUGUAAAUUUUUAGGACAGCUUUGUAACUUCUCUAUAACUCCACCGACGAUAAAUGCAAGACAACACAAUAGUGUCAAAGCAAUAUCUCUGUGAACUAAACUUGUUUUGUUUUGUUGUUCUUAUGUCCGGUGAGAUGCUCUGCCCAGAC
rnacentral:rRNA from 1 species